rnacentral:rRNA from 1 species
UAUUAUACUAAUAAAUAUUAAAAACCUGGAUUAUUAAUAGAUAUAUUCUUUAAAUUUAAAGAAUUUGGCGGUAAUUUAGUCUUGUUAGAGGAACCUGUUUAUUAAAUCGAUACACCACGUGGAAUUUUACUCAUUUUAUUUAGUUUAUAUACCGUCAUUAGCAGAUAAUUUAAAAAAAAUUAAUUAUUAAGAUUUAAAUAAAAUUAAGUUAAAUUAGAUCAAGGUGUAGCCUAUAAAUGAGCUAAAAUGGGUUACAAUAAAUUUUAUUUAUAAUGGAGUAGUUGUAAGAAAUAGGCUAUAGAAAGUGGAUUUAAUUGUAAUAUUAGUUUAAAAAGUUAAAAAGAUAUAAGCUCUAAAUUAU